GCUGUGAUGGCCCAGUGGUUAAGGAGUUGGACUCGAAAUCCAAUGGGGCCUCCCCGCGCAGGUUCAAACCCUGAUCGCAGCG